AUGGGCUUUGCAACAAGGACCAUGUUGCAAAGGUCUACCGCACUGCUGCCCCGCCAUGGCCUAAGUGCCUCGGCCAUGGAGCGCCGCUGGCCACUGGAGUUGUCGCGUCUCCUCCGACUCAGCACCCCGAGCAACUGCCUCUACUCCAGCACGACGACGACGAGUUCCCACGUCGGGCACUCCUCUGGCGAUUUCCGCAACCGAAGCUAUGUUUUUGGAACAUGCGUCGUGUUGCAAUGCUUGGCCUCGUAUAUAACAUCGGGCCCUCCUCCGGCGCUUUCUGCAACCGGGGCUAUGUUUUUGAACAAGACCCCUGUUGCAGAAGAAAAAAUAUUCAUCAUUGAACCGUUUUUUUCUUUCUGA
rnacentral:rRNA from 1 species